AAACUUACCUGGCAGGCGCUCGGGGUGGCUCGUCCAUCACCCUGUCGUAGUCCGGAGCAGAGCACUGCACUCAGCUGUCUGUAAUGGGCUAUGGGCCUCCAUAUGGGGGUGCCAACUGCAGAAUUUCUGAUAGCGGCAUGUUGCGUUCGCGCUCAUGCCAU
rfam:Eimeria acervulina, Houghton, WGS project CBTS01000000 data, contig: Eah_contig109_2